UACGAAGGUGGCAAGCGUUGUUCGGAUUUACUGGGCGUACAGGGAGCGUAGGCGGUUGGGUAAGCCCUUCGUGAAAUCUCCGGGCCUAACCCGGAAAGUGCGGAGGGGACUGCUCGGCUAGAGGAUGGGAGAGGAGCGCGGAAUUCCCGGUGUAGCGGUGAAAUGCGUAGAGAUCGGGAGGAAGGCCGGUGGCGAAGGCGGCGCUCUGGAACAUUUCUGACGCUGAGGCCCGAAAGCGUGGGGAGCAAACAGG
rnacentral:rRNA from 1 species